rnacentral:tRNA from 1 species
GGAGAGGUGGCCGAGUGGUUGAAGGCGCACGCCUGGAAAGUGUGUAGGCGGGGAACCGUCUCGCGGGUUCGAAUCCCGCUCUCUCCGCCA